rnacentral:rRNA from 1 species
GGUUAAGCGACUAAGCGUACACGGUGGAUGCCCGGCAGUCAGAGGCGAUGAAGGACGUGCUAAUCUGCGAAAAGCGUCGGUAAGGUGAUAUGAACCGUUAUAACCGGCGAUGUCCGAAUGGGAAACCCAGUGCAAUUCGUUGCACUAUCGUUAACUGAAUACAUAGGUUAACGAGGCGAACCGGGGAACUGAAACAUCUAAGUACCCCGAGGAAAGAAAUCAACCGAGAUUCCCCAGUAGCGGCGAGCGAACGGGGAGCAGCCCAGAGUCUGAAUCAGCUUGUGUGUUAGUGGAACGGUCUGGAAAGUCCGACGGUACAGGGUGAUAGUCCCGUACACCAAAAUGCACAGGUUGUGAACUCGAAGAGUAGGGCGGGACACGUGGUAUCCUGUCUGAAUAUGGGGGACCAUCCUCCAAGGCUAAAUACUCCUGACUGACCGAUAGUGAACCAGUACCGUGAGGGAAAGGCGAAAAGAACCCCGGCGAGGGAGUGAAAAGAACCUGAAACCGUGUACGUACAAGCAGUGGGAGCACCUUCGGGUGUGACUGCGUACCUUUGUAUAAUGGGUCAGCGACUUAUAUUCUGUAGCAAGGUUAACCGUAUAGGGAGCCGCAGGGAAACCGAGUCUUAACUGGGCGUUAAGUUGCAGGGUAUAGACCCGAAACCCGGUGAUCUAGCCAUGGGCAGGUUGAAGGUUGGGUAACACUAACUGGAGGACCGAACCGACUAAUGUUGAAAAAUUAGCGGAUGACUUGUGGCUGGGGGUGAAAGGCCAAUCAAACCGGGAGAUAGCUGGUUCUCCCCGAAAGCUAUUUAGGUAGCGCCUCGUGAACUCAUCUUCGGGGUAGAGCACUGUUUCGGCUAGGGGUCAUCCCGACUUACCAACCCGAUGCAAACUACGAAUACCGAAGAAUGUUAUCACGGGAGACACACGGCGGUGCUAACGUCCGUCGUGAAGAGGGAAACAACCCAGACCGCCAGCUAAGGUCCCAAAGUCAUGGUUAAGUGGAAACGAUGUGGGAAGGCACAGACAGCCGUGGAUGUUGGCUUAGAAGCAGCCAUCAUUUAAAGAAAGCGUAAUAGCUCACUGGUCGAGUCGGCCUGCGCGGAAGAUGUAACGGGGCUAAACCAUGCACCGAAGCUGCGGCAGCGACACUAUGUGUUGUUGGGUAGGGGAGCGUUCUGUAAGCCUGCGAAGGUGUGCUGUGAGGCAUGCUGGAGGUAUCAGAAGUGCGAAUGCUGACAUAAGUAACGAUAAAGCGGGUGAAAAGCCCGCUCGCCGGAAGACCAAGGGUUCCUGUCCAACGUUAAUCGGGGCAGGGUGAGUCGACCCCGCGAGGCCGAAAGGCGUAGUCGAUGG